rnacentral:rRNA from 1 species
CGAACGCUGGCGGCGUGCCUAACACAUGCAAGUCGAACGGUGAUCUUGAGGUGCUUGCACCUUGGGUGAUCAGUGGCGAACGGGUGAGUAACACGUGAGUAACCUGCCCCAGACUCUGGAAUAACCCCGGGAAACCGGAGCUGAUACCGGAUAUGAAGUAGAGCUGCAUGGCUACUACUUGGAAAGUUUUUCGGUCUGGGAUGGACUCGCGGCCUAUCAGCUUGUUGGUGAGGUAAUGGCUCACCAAGGCGACGACGGGUAGCCGGCCUGAGAGGGCGACCGGCCACACUGGGACUGAGACACGGCCCAGACUCCUACGGGAGGCAGCAGUGGGGAAUAUUGCACAAUGGGCGAAAGCCUGAUGCAGCGACGCCGCGUGAGGGAUGACGGCCUUCGGGUUGUAAACCUCUUUCAGCGCCGACGAAGCGAAAGUGACGGUAGGCGCAGAAGAAGCACCGGCCAACUGCGUGCCAGCAGCCGCGGUAAUACGUAGGGUGCGAGCGUUGUCCGGAAUUAUUGGGCGUAAAGGGCUCGUAGGCGGUUUGUCGCGUCGGGAGUGAAAACUCAGGGCUUAACUCUGAGCUUGCUUUCGACACGAGCAAACUAGAGUGUUGCAGGGGAGACUGGAAUUCCUGGUGUAGCGGUGAAAUGCGCAGAUAUCAGGAGGAACACCGGUGGCGAAGGCGGGUCUCUGGGCAACAACUGACGCUGAGGAGCGAAAGCGUGGGGAGCGAACAGGAUUAGAUACCCUGGUAGUCCACGCCGUAAACGUUGGGCGCUAGGUGUGGGGCUCAUUCCACGAGUUCCGUGCCGCAGCUAACGCAUUAAGCGCCCCGCCUGGGGAGUACGGCCGCAAGGCUAAAACUCAAAGGAAUUGACGGGGGCCCGCACAAGCGGCGGAGCAUGUUGCUUAAUUCGAUGCAACGCGAAGAACCUUACCUAGGCUUGACAUGCACGGAAAUCUCGCAGAGAUGCGGGGUCCGUAAGGGCCGUGCACAGGUGGUGCAUGGUUGUCGUCAGCUCGUGUCGUGAGAUGUUGGGUUAAGUCCCGCAACGAGCGCAACCCUCGUUCUAUGUUGCCAGCACGUCAUGGUGGGGACUCAUAGGAGACUGCCGGGGUCAACUCGGAGGAAGGUGGGGAUGACGUCAAAUCAUCAUGCCCCUUAUGUCUAGGGCUGCAAACAUGCUACAAUGGCCGGUACAAAGGGCUGCGAUACCGUGAGGUGGAGCGAAUCCCAAAAAGCCGGUCUCAGUUCGGAUUGGGGUCUGCAACUCGACCCCAUGAAGUUGGAGUCGCUAGUAAUCGCAGAUCAGCAACGCUGCGGUGAAUACGUUCCCGGGCCUUGUACACACCGCCCGUCACGUCACGAAAGUCGGUAACGCCCGAAGCCGGUGGCCCAACCCUUGUGGAGGGAGCCGUCGAAGGCGGGAUCGGCGAUUGGG